rnacentral:miRNA from 1 species
UCUUCUCUCUGUCUUUCUCAG